rnacentral:rRNA from 1 species
UACGUAGGUGGCAAGCGUUGUCCGGAUUUACUGGGUGUAAAGGGCGUGUAGGCGGGAAAACAAGUCAGAUGUGAAAUUCCAUGGCUCAACUGUGGCGCUGCAUCUGAAACUGUUUUUCUUGAGUGAUGGAGAGGAAAGCGGAAUUCCUAGUGUAGCGGUGAAAUGCGUAGAUAUUAGGAGGAACACCAGUGGCGAAGGCGGCUUUCUGGACAUUAACUGACGCUGAGGCGCGAAAGCGUGGGGAGCAAACGGG